CUACGGGGGGCUGCAGUAAGGAAUAUUGCGCAAUGGAGGCAACUCUGACGCAGCCAUGCCGCGUGCAGGACUGAAGGCCUUAUGGGUCGUAAACUGCUUUUAUUUAGGAAUAAACUUUCGUACGUGUACGAGACUGAAGGUACUAAAUGAAUAAGCACCGGCUAACUCCGUGCCAGCAGCCGCGGUAAUACGGAGGGUGCAAGCGUUAUCCGGAUUUAUUGGGUUUAAAGGGUGCGCAGGCGGACUAUUAAGUCAGAGGUGAAAUCCCGGAGCUCAACUUCGGACCUGCCUUUGAUACUGGUAGUCUUGAAUACGGUUGAAGUAGGCGGAAUGUAGCAUGUAGCGGUGACAUGCAUAGAGAUGCUACAGAACACCGAUCGCGAAGGCAGCUUACUAAGCCGAUAUUGACGCUCAGGCACGAAAGCAUGGGGAGCGAACAGGAUUAGAUACCCCUGUAGUC
rnacentral:rRNA from 1 species